rnacentral:lncRNA from 1 species
UCCUAAAGGCCGCGGAGUCGGCGGUGUUGUAGGUAGCGGUACCUUGAGUGGCAACAGAAUUCGAUUAAAUUACAAUGGGAAACAUUUUUGAAAAGCUCUUUAAAAGUCUACUUGGGAAAAAAAAGAUGCGGAUUCUUAUAUUGAGUUUGGAUACAGCUGGAAAAACCACCAUCUUGUAUAAAUUGAAGCUGGGGGAGACUGUGCCUGCCGUCCCUACAGUAGGUUUCUGUGUGGAGACAGUAGAAUAUAAAAAUAACACCUUCGCUGUCUGGGAUGUUGGCAGCCACUUCAAAAUCAGACCUCUGUGGCAGCAUUUUUUCCAGAACACAAAAGCCUGAUCUAGUUGAAUCUGAAGAUGUGGACCUGCUGAUGAAGAGGGCUGACUGUAUCUAACUUAGGGUCUUGCAUGCAGCUGGCACUUAAUACAUUUUAUUGACUGUUUUAGAUAACAUUCAACAGAUAAUUCCUAAUAAAAACUCUUAAAAGUAGGA